rnacentral:rRNA from 1 species
CGCGUAGGCGGCUUCGGAAGUCAUGGGUGAAAGCCCCAGGCUCAACCUGGGAACUGCAUUUGAUACUGGUAGGCUAGAGUAUGAUAGAGGGGGGUAGAAUUCCUGGUGUAGCGGUGAAAUGCGUAGAUAUCAGGAGGAAUACCAGUGGCGAAGGCGGCCCCCUGGAUCAAUACUGACGCUGAGGUACGAAAGCGUGGGUAGCGAACA